UACGUAGGGGGCAAGCGUUGUCCGGAUUUAUUGGGCGUAAAGAGCGUGUAGGCGGCUAUACAGGUCCGCUGUGAAAACUCGAGGCUCAACCUCGAGACGCCGAUGGAAACCCUCCAGCUAGGACGUCGAAGAGGAGAGUGGAAUUCCUGGUGUAGCGGUGAAAUGCGCAGAUAUCAGGAGGAACACCGGUGGCGAAGGCGGGUCUCUGGGCCGAUACUGACGCUGAGGAGCGAAAGCGUGGGGAGCGAACAGG
rnacentral:rRNA from 1 species